rnacentral:rRNA from 1 species
GAUGAACGCUUGCGGCGUGCCUAAUACAUGCAAGUCGAGCGAACAGACGAGGAGCUUGCUCCUCUGACGUUAGCGGCGGACGGGUGAGUAACACGUGGAUAACCUACCUAUAAGACUGGGAUAACUUCGGGAAACCGGAGCUAAUACCGGAUAAUAUAUUGAACCGCAUGGUUCAAUAGUGAAAGACGGUUUUGCUGUCACUUAUAGAUGGAUCCGCGCCGCAUUAGCUAGUUGGUAAGGUAACGGCUUACCAAGGCAACGAUGCGUAGCCGACCUGAGAGGGUGAUCGGCCACACUGGAACUGAGACACGGUCCAGACUCCUACGGGAGGCAGCAGUAGGGAAUCUUCCGCAAUGGGCGAAAGCUUGACGGAGCAACGCCGCGUGAGUGAUGAAGGUCUUCGGAUCGUAAAACUCUGUUAUUAGGGAAGAACAAAUGUGUAAGUAACUAUGCACGUCUUGACGGUACCUAAUCAGAAAGCCACGGCUAACUACGUG